rnacentral:rRNA from 1 species
UGGCAGCAGUCGAGAAUCAUUCACAAUGGGCGAAAGCCUGAUGGUGCGACGCCGCGUGGAGGAUGACAGCCCUAGGGUUGUAAACUCCUGUCAUGAGAGAGUAAAGACUUAACGUUAAUAGCGUUGGGUCCUGAUAGUAUCUCAAGAGGAAGGGACGGCUAACUUCGUGCCAGCAGCCGCGGUAAUACGAAGGUCCCAAGCGUUGUUCGGAAUUACUGGGCGUAAAGCGUGCGUAGGUGGCAUGGUAAGUCAGAUGUGAAAUCCCGGGGCUCAACCCCGGAACUGCAUCCGAUACUGCCAAGCUAGAGUAGUGGAGGGGAGUCUGGAAUUCACGGUGUAGCAGUGAAAUGCGUAGAUAUCGUGAGGAACACUAGUGGCGAAGGCGAGACUCUGGACACUAACUGACACUGAGGCACGAAGGCUAGGGUAGCGAAAGGGAUUAGAUACCCCUGUAGUCCUAGCAGUAAACGGUGCGCGUUUGGUGUGGGCGGGUUCGACCCCGUCCGUGCCGAAGCUAACGCGUUAAACGCGCCGCCUGGGGAGUACGGCCGCAAGGCUAAAACUCAAAGAAAUUGACGGGGACCCGCACAAGCGGUGGAGUAUGUGGCUUAAUUCGAUGCAACGCGAAGAACCUUACCUAGGCUUGACAUGCUUGUCGUAGUUCUGUGAAAGCAGAUCGUCAGUUCGGCUGGACUUGCACAGGUGCUGCAUGGCUGUCGUCAGCUCGUGUCGUGAGAUGUUGGGUUAAGUCCCGCAACGAGCGCAACCCCUAUGAUUAGUUGCCAGCGAGUAAUGUCGGGGACUCUAGUCAGACUGCCUGUAUUAAACAGGAGGAAGGUGGGGACGACGUCAAGUCAGUAUGGCCCUUACGCCUAGGGCUGCACACGUACUACAAUGCCCAGUACAAUGUGAACCAAUACCGUAAGGUGGAGGAAAUCCUUAAAACUGGGCUCAGUUCGGAUUGUGGGCUGCAACUCGCCCACAUGAAGCUGGAAUCGCUAGUAAUGGCACAUCAGCUACGGUGCCGUGAAUACGUUCCCGGGUCUUGUACACACCGCCCGUCACAUCAU